rnacentral:rRNA from 13 species
AUAAACGACUCUCGGCAACGGAUAUCUCGGCUCACGCAUCGAUGAAGAACGUAGCAAAAUGCGAUACUUGGUGUGAAUUGCAGAAUCCCGUGAACCAUCGAGUUUUUGAACGCAAGUUGCGCCCGAAGCCUUUUGGCUGAGGGCACGUCUGCCUGGGCGUCACAC